GUUGGGAGGCGCCUGAUGAUGUAGAAGGCAAGUGAACAGAGGCACUUGGUGGGACAGAAGUUGGGCUCAGGUGAUGCGGCGGUCGGAGAGAUGCUGUGGAGGAGUUGGCCGGCGACCCCUUUCCUUCUAGCUUCAACGAGUCUGCUGUUGUGAUGGCCGAAGGAAGAGCAAGGAGGGGGAGGAGGGAUGGCAGAGGAGGUUAACAUCUAUAGCUUUUAUUAUGAAGCUAAGCUUCUAGACACACAUCUGAUCUGGUAGUUAUUUGUAUGGGUUGACAAGACAUUCAACAUGAAGCUAUUAGAAUACACCCCGUUUGAUUGGUAUGACAUAUUUUCUUCUGUCUUGAACUCGUCGUGCUCCUGGUAACAUGGGAUUUCCUUGCUACUAAUGUAUCGUAUUGCAUAUGUCUGUUUUCAGUGUAAAUGUGUUCUUUGAUCAACCAAACCUUGGUGAAUGUACAAUCAGGGGGAGCCUUGAUGCCUUCUCAUGUAAGAGUAAGAUCCACAAAAUUUUGAUAACUUGAGUCCAUUACAUCAUGACAAUAGGGUCAAGCUCCACUUUAAUUUGCAGGCAAAGCAUGCAGGAAAUGAUUGUUGGCUUUCAAUAAGCUUUGAAUAUGAGGUACAUACUUUCCAUCAGCCUAUGAUUUACGACAACUGCUUUUCUUUUAGCGCUGAUGUUGAUAAGUAGGCAUUGACGUGUUAGUUAUAUAUAGUUCGUAUUGCCAAAUAUGUAGUUCAUGACUUGUUCUCAUUGACGUGAUAUUUCGAGUUCUAGUUGACAUAUCUUGGAUACAGUUAUACGAAACGAGGAAUUAUAGGGUGCGUCGCAAAACAAAUGUUUAAUAUAUCCAAAACAACAAAACAACAAAAA